rnacentral:rRNA from 1 species
GACGAACGCUGGCGGCGCGCCUAACACAUGCAAGUCGAACGAGCGAGAGAGAGCUUGCUUUCUCGAGCGAGUGGCGAACGGGUGAGUAACGCGUGAGGAACCUGCCUCAAAGAGGGGGACAACAGUUGGAAACGACUGCUAAUACCGCAUAAGCCCACGGCUCGGCAUCGAGCAGGGGGAAAAGGAGCAAUCCGCUUUGAGAUGGCCUCGCGUCCGAUUAGCUAGUUGGUGAGGUAACGGCCCACCAAGGCGACGAUCGGUAGCCGGACUGAGAGGUUGAACGGCCACAUUGGGACUGAGACACGGCCCAGACUCCUACGGGAGGAAGCAGUGGGGAAUAUUGCACAAUGGGGGAAACCCUGAUGCAGCGACGCCGCGUGGAGGAAGAAGGUCUUCGGAUUGUAAACUCCUGUUGUUGGGGAAGAUAAUGACGGUACCCAACAAGGAAGUGACGGCUAACUACGUG